UUUGGAUAUGAUUCAUUCGUUGCCUACCUAGCAGCUAGCUUGGUUUCCGAUUCAAGAACGCAAUCGGUAAUUAGCCGGUAAAAAAUCAGCCGGACGGUUGGGCUGGAUCGAUUGGACUUUUGAUAAUUUUCCUGACCCAUAUCAAUGCAUCUAGCAUCGCCACCUACCUUCAAUUAGCCACACCGUCACCUACCUUCCCACCGCCCCUCACAUUUCUCCCCGUCGUUCCCCAUUCUUCCUUGGUCGCCAGCUCCCUCUCUCCACCUCGUCAGGCCACCCCUCCCCUUCGUCCCCACCGCCAGCAAGAGGUUCGCAACCCCUUCUCUUCCCCGCGUUUUCAUCGAAUCCGGUCGCCCAAGUGGCCGAGGAGGUCCCCCAGCUGGCCAGCUCGGCAUGCUCGCGAGCAUCCUAGCGUUAGGCUCCGUCGGAUGCGCGCGACUUCCCCGCCCCUGCUCUUCCCCGUCCUUCUUCGAAUCCGUUCGCCGAAGUGCCCAAGGAGGCGCUCGAGCUCAGCGCACUCACGGGCGACCCAGCGCGAGGCGGGCGCCGAGGCCCGCAACAAGCCAACAAGGAGCGGGCGUGGGUGCGCAACAAUAUCUGGGCACAGUUCGAUGCCUCCACUGCUGAGCCGUGGAGAUGUGCAGGAGCCAGUGAGAUACGGCCACCUCCCAGCCAGUUCACCAGCCUCCGCGAAGAUGUGUAGGAGCCAGUGUGCCUCUGUGUGAUGUGCUAUUCAAGAUACCUCUACAUAUUUCCCCCUUCUUAAUGAAAAGGCAGCGCUCCUGUCGGUUCCUCAAAAAAAUUGUGUUAUUCAGGAUACAAUGGCACUCGAUAAUGCUUGCUAAGAAGAUAAAUUUGCUUGCAGGGCUCUUGAUGAUAUAUCCACUUUCAUCAAAUGCUUAAGGGUAUGGUCACUUGGAGAAGACAUAGCUAUGACUACAAAGAUCUGUUUUUUCAGGUGAUGAAUUGUAACCUUAUAUCCUUUAUUACUUGGAAUUGAAAAUCACAGGAAACAAUCCGUAAUUAAUUUGGAGAGAAUCUUUUAUUCUUUUCUGUCUUGCUCCUGUUCACUAUAGGAUGUACUCCCUCUGUAAAAAAAUAUAAGAGCGUUAGUGUUCUAAAUGCUCUUAUAUUUCUUUACGGAUGCAGUAUAUCAUUAUCAUUAUCAUGUAACAAAUUUACCGUAGAAACUACAA